CACAUGCAAGUUCAUGACCAACCGUCUUCUCUCCCGCAAGCAGUUCGUGCUCGAGGUCAUCCACCCCGGCCGCCCCAACGUCUCCAAGGCGGAGCUCAAAGAGAGGCUGGCGAAGAUCUACGAGGUGAAGGACCCCGACUGCAUCUUCGUCUUCAAGUUCCGAACCAACUUCGAAGGCGGCAAGUCCACCAAGGUAGAGAAGUCACGAAAGCAGAUGAAGGAACGUAAGAACAGGGCAAAGAAAAUCCUUGGUGUGAAGAAGACAAAGGCUGGAGAUGCCAAGAAGAAGUAAGGGAGGAAGUUACUUGCCUUGCCAUUUCUCUCAUCAUAGGCUUUGGUUUGUUUAGGGUGGGGCUCCUUCCGGCAAUGCUGAAUGUUUAGUUAGAAGUAGAGGAGAUUUUGCCAAUUACCCAUCACGUUGAGUUUCUCGUUGCACCUUCUGUUCAGUUUUGAGGCACUUUGUCAGACACAAGAAUAUAUAUACCUGGUCAUCACGGCUUUUGUC